UUCUUAUCUACCCCAGCUCUUUGCCUGGAAGAAAAGCUUAAGGAAUUGGAGUAUAAACUAGACUUGAUGAACAAAGAACAACCACAGGGCCAUGAUGAACUCUAACUGCCAUCAUGAAUCACAGCAAAUGGUUUUGUAGAGGAUGUUAACCGCGUCGACUAAUAUUGGGACAAGUAGUUCAUUUGAUCUUGAAAUAUUAAGAGGUGCAAAACGCAUUCUAUCUGGCCAGUUAUUUAGAAAUUCUGAACAAUAUUUCAAGUGGGCUGCUGAAUCUUUUAUGUAACACUUCUAAUUCUUUGAGGACUAUAGGAAAAUUGAGAAUCGAGAGUCAUUAGAAAAAGUCCGGCUCAUUUAAACUGAUUUUGAAAGCAUUAGUUCAAUAAAAGUAUUGGAGC
rnacentral:misc_RNA from 1 species